AACGAACGCUGGCGGCAUGCCUAACACAUGCGAGUCGAACGAGACCUUCGGGUCUAGUGGCGCACGGGUGCGUAACGCGUGGGAACCUGCCCUUAGGUUCGGAAUAACUCCCCGAAAGGGGUGCUAAUACCGGAUAAUGUCUUCGGACCAAAGAUUUAUCGCCUUUGGAUGGGCCCGCGUUGGAUUAGCUAGUUGGUAGGGUAAAAGCCUACCAAGGCGACGAUCCAUAGCUGGUCUGAGAGGAUGAUCAGCCACACUGGGACUGAGACACGGCCCAGACUCCUACGGGAGGCAGCAGUGGGGAAUAUUGGACAAUGGGCGAAAGCCUGAUCCAGCAAUGCCGCGUGAGUGAUGAAGGCCUUAGGGUUGUAAAGCUCUUUUGCCCGGGAUGAUAAUGACAGUACCGGGAGAAUAAGCUCCGGCUAACUCCGUG
rnacentral:rRNA from 1 species